CAAGUACUCCCUCCGUCCGAAAAUACUUGUCAUCAAAAUGGAUAAAAGAGAUGUAUCUAGAACUAAUAUACAUCUAGAUACAUACCAUUUUAUUCAUUUUGAUGACAAGUAUUUCCGGACGGAGGGAGUACUAC
rnacentral:pre_miRNA from 1 species